ACGCAAUAGAUACCCGGGUAGUCCACGCCCUAAACGAUGCGAACUGGAUGUUGGGAGCAACUAGGCUCUCAGUAUCGAAAGCUAACGCGUUAAGUUCGCCGCCUGGGGAGUACGGUCGCAAGACUGAAACUCAAAGGAAUUGACGGGGGCCGGCACAAGCGGUGGAGUAUGUGGUUUAAUUCGAUGCAACGCGCAGAACCGUUACCUGGCCUUGACAUCCACGGAACGUUUCCAGAGAUGGAUUGGUGCCUUCGGAACCGGUGAGACAGGUGCUGCAUGGCUGUCGUCAGCUCGUGUCGUGAGAUGUUGGGUUAAGUCCCGUCAACGAGCGCAACCCUUGUCCUUAGUUGCCAGCACGUAAUGGUGGGAACUCUAAGGAGACCGCCGGUGAC
rnacentral:rRNA from 1 species